UGACAUGUUUGACAAUGAGGUGAUCACUAGU
rnacentral:piRNA from 1 species